rnacentral:pre_miRNA from 1 species
CAUAUACUCCCUCCGUUCCGAAUUACUUGUCGCAGGUAUGGAUGUAUCUAGAUGUAUUUUAGUUCUAGAUAUAUCCAUUUCUGCGACGAGUAAUUUGGAACGGAGGGAGUACACC